AAAUGUGGUAACCUUGUCAAAUCAAUGAAAGAACGAUUUUAGAUCGAGGCCCUUGGAACGCUAUUCUACGUUCGACAAGUGGAACAAAGUAGAGAUAUUUUUAAUGUUUGAAAAAAAAAAAAAAAAUUGCGACAUACAUAUAUGUGUAUUUCAACUAUGAAAAACGAACAUAUUACCAACCAUUAAGCAAAAACACACCGACAUUUAAGAAAAAACAAUAAGCUGUAAGCAAAUGGAUUUUCUGCAGUUCAAAUGAAAAUCUUGUACCAGUGUCUUUAGCCACGAAAACAGCGCAAUGUCAUAGGAAAUGCUCCAACGUCUCACCAUCUUCCCCACACGCCCUACACAUGUUAUCACUUGCCGCACCGAUUUCGCAUGAGUGAGCUCGAAUUCCUAUGUUUCCCGUUAUGAUACCAAAAGCUAUACUAACCUCCUUCUUACUUCCUUUCAGUAGUAGCCUCGUCCUCUCACUAUCCGGAUCACCCCAUAGGAUUUUCGCCUUCCUACCGACUGUUUCGCUGUUCUACCGUGUUACACGCUUCGAGUUGACCAGGUUGUGGAUGCCGAUUGUGCCAUCCUCAGAGAAGGCGUUAAUCUCCUUCUUACACUGCAAGACUGUUAGUGACCUUACCUUCCUGGUUGUUAUUGCCCUUACGGCCAUUUUACUGUCCGUAAAGAAGUUCACAUUCGACGUUCACGCGUUAGUCCCACUACCUCACGCAUUCCGUGAUCGCCGGAUUCCGGAUCUCCGCCUGCAGAACCGUUCUGGUUUCUCAAUGUAGACCCCAGGCCCACUCUGUCCUCUAGCUUUGUUCCACCCAUGUAACAUGAUCUUCCAGAUGGCAAUAUAUGGGCUACGUCUAUCCAACACUGUGCCGCUGGCAGCAGUGCCUCGGAUUCGACCUCAAGUGUCGUUCUAGGUAUCCGAUGGAAAACCUCUUCACUUUCUUUCAGGACUAUCCUCGGUUUCCAUUUCGAGCCUGCGGCCCGUCUGCAUAGUGCCCAACAUUUGUGAGUCUUCUCAGUGCACUCCUGUAAAUCAUAAGAAAACUUCUUCUUGUUUAAAAAAAAUGUAACGUGAAAAUUUAA
rnacentral:sRNA from 1 species